rnacentral:rRNA from 1 species
CUGCGGAGGGAUCAUUACCGAGUUUACAACUCCCAAACCCCUGUGAAUCUUACCUCAUGUUGCCUCGGCGGUCGCCCCGGAGGGAUUCGUCCCCCCGGAACCAGGCGCCCGCCGGAGGACCCAAACUCUUGUUUACUUUAUGGUAUCUUCUGAGUAAAAAACAAAUAAAUCAAAACUUUCAACAACGGAUCUCUUGGUUCUGGCAUCGAUGAAGAACGCAGCGAAAUGCGAUAAGUAAUGUGAAUUGCAGAAUUCAGUGAAUCAUCGAAUCUUUGAACGCACAUUGCGCCCGCCAGUAUUCUGGCGGGCAUGCCUGUUCGAGCGUCAUUUCAACCCUCAAGCCCCCGUGGCUCGGUGUUGGGGAUCGGCCGUCAAACGCCGUCCCCUAAAUCUAGUGGCGGUCACGCUGUAGCUUCCUCUGUGUAGUAAUUUACCUCACUCUGGAAAGCGGCGCGGCCACGCCGUUAAACCCCCAACUUUCUGAAUGUUGACCUCGGAUCAGGUAGGAAUACCCGCUGAACUUAAG